rnacentral:lncRNA from 1 species
GGCAGGUUCCUCCUUCCAGGCUGGAAAAAACUCCAGGACGUAUGGCAUAUUGAAGCAAUAAAAGGGAGCUAAGCUUUACCCAAGCCUUUCAUAAUGCACUUCACGAGAUAUUUCUUUUUCUUUUAAAAGAACCACUGGUAUUAAAUAGAGCUUUUUCUUUACAUACAGUAUUGGUAUAUACAAAACAAACACAGAACAAAGACAGAUGCAUAAAACAACCCUUAAACACGUGGCUUCAGAAAUUCUGAAGCUCAGGAAUAUUUUGGUAGAGGUCCAAAGUCUCAGGGUUUGAGAAAGCUCCCCGCUGCUCUACUUCUUUCCCCGCGAUUAUUUGCUUCACGGCCACUUCCACUUUCUUCCCAUUUAUCGUAUACGGAAUGCCUUUGGUUUCUAGAAUGAGGCUUGGAACAUGCCUGGCAGAAAGUGCUACACGGAUUGCAUCUCGAAUUCUUUUCACCAGAUCCUCGCUGAACGCAUGGUUUGAAGCCAUCUUCAAGAAGAGUAUCACCCUUUCCUCCCCAUCCUUGUUGUACUGAGGGACACAGAGGCUAUCAGAAACCUCCUCAAAGGCUUCAACUAUAUUAUAGAUUUCAGAGCUUCCGAAUCUUACUCCAUUUGGAUUUAAUGUGCCAUCACUGCGCCCAAGCAUGACAAUUCCUCCUGUCUUGGGAUUAAUUUUGCAAUAAUCACCAUGGGCCCAAACACCUGGGAAUUUUGAAAAAUAAGCCUUCCUGUAUUUGCUCCCAUUUUCAUCAUUCCAGAAGUGCGUAGGCUGACAGGGAAUGGGUUUAGUACAAACCAGCUCUCCACUUUCACCCCAAACUGGUUUUCCUUCAUCAUUCCAGGCUUCCACAGCCAUUCCGAGAUUUCUGGCCUGAAUUUCUCCUUUGUAAACUGGAAUCGUAACAUUCUGACCCAUGAAACAUGAAAUUAUAUCUGUCCCACCUGAAAUGGAUCCCAGGAGGACACUGCUCUUUAUGUGUUUGUAGACAUACUCAUAGCUUUGAGAUUUGAGAGGCGAUCCUGUAGACAAUAUAGUAUGGAGCGUUUGGAGAUUGUGUGUUUCACAUGGUUUUAAGUUUUUCUCUUCUAGCACAGCAAGCCACUUUGCACCCGUUCCAAGGAUGGUGAUCCCUAGUCGGUCAAUCAAGUCCCAGAGCACAUUUGGUGAUGGAACUAGAGGAGAUCCAUCAUACAAAACCACUGAAGCUCCUGUAGCAAGUGCAGUCACUAACCAGUUCCACAUCAUCCAGCCAGUCGUUGUGUAGUACAUAAUGAUGUCAUUGCUGGACAUGUUGCCAUGAAGAAUGUGUUCCUUCAGAUGCUGUAUUAAUG